CACAUUAUAGUUCCACAUUUCUAGCCUGUGAUGGGGCCUGCCAAAGUAUCACAUUUUCAGCCUGUGGCGGGGCCUGCACAUUAUAGUUCCACAUUUCUAGCCUGUGAGGGGGCCUACCAAAGUACCACAUUUUCUUCAGCCUGUGACGGGGCCUGCCAUAAUAACAAGAUAAACCCAAAGUCCCUUUUCAUACAGUCCAGUUUACAUCCACACAUCCAUUUUCUUUUAUUUAUUUCCGUCUAUAAACUAACCACAGUCACGUUUCCAGCCCGUGACAGGGCAACCAAUAUCAUAUGGUUAGUUUAGAGCACCACAUCCAUCAGUCAAAUUUUGCAGGUGUAGGUUAUGCGCAUGCAUGCAUCUAUCAUUAUACCAAUCACAAGCAAAGACGAUCAAAAUACAAUUUAAAUAUAAAAACCAUUUUGUUUUGCCUGGAUCAUAACAUAUCAAACAUAUAUA
rnacentral:lncRNA from 1 species